UAUUUUUAAAGGGCCGCGGUAUACUGACCGUGCGAAGGUAGCAUAAUCAUUAGUCUUUUAAUUGAAGGCUUGUAUGAAUGGUUGGACAAAAAGUAAUCUGUCUCAGUUAUAAUAGUUGAACUUAACUUUUAAGUGAAAAGGCUUAAAUACUUUAAGGGGACGAUAAGACCCUAUAAAACUUAACAAUAAUUUGAUUAAAUUAUAAAUUGUUAGUAUAACUUGAUUUUAAUUAAUGUUUGUUGCGUUGGGGCGACGGGAAUAUAAUCAGUAACUGUUCUUAAAUAUUUUAUUAACAAGUAUAAUUGAAGAAUAAUUGAUCCUUUAUUAAAGAUUAAAAGAUUAAGUUACUUUAGGGAUAACAGCGUAAUCUUCUUUGAGAGUCCUCAUCGACAAGAAGGUUUGCGACCUCGAUGUUGAAUUAAGGUAUCCUUAUAAUGCAG
rnacentral:rRNA from 1 species